rnacentral:tRNA from 1 species
AGAGGGUAGCACGCAAUGGUGCGUAACCGGUCUUGAAAACCGGGCCAUCUUUCGGGAUGAGGGUUCGAUUCCUUUACUCUCUG